rnacentral:lncRNA from 1 species
AGUUUUUUUAACUUCAAGGACUGGAGUCAUAUGGAUUACUUGACGAUUAUUAUGUUUUUAUCAGCUGUUUGAAUUCUCAUUCUGGCAGCACCCAUUCACUGCAGAGGAUCCAGUGGUGAGCAAAGUGAUGUAAUAAUAAAUUUCUCCAAAUCUGUUCAGCUAAACAACAAACUCAUCUACAUCUUAGAUGGCCUGAGGGUGAGCAAAUUUUUAUAUAUUUGGGUGAACUAUUCCUUUUUGAAUUUUGAAGUAUGAUGCCAGUAAUCAGUUUCCCAACACAUUUGCAUAAUUUCACAUUAUACACAGUCAAGCAAUAAUGGAAAAGGCAUUCAGGCAUUUUAUAUUUCUCUUUCCUUGUGUUUUCAUUUGAUUUAUACCUUUGCUUUAUACUGUACAUACUUUUGAUUUCCUUUUCUCUUAUCAGUCAUCUGCUUUUUAUUGUCUUGAACAAUGAGGCAAAGUGUUUUAUUGUCUUGAACAAUGAGGCAAAGUGAAAAACAUCACUUAUUUUUUCUUUCCUUGCCUACAGGUUAUUUUCUGACAAGAAUGACCGCAGUUCUUUGGAAUAUCAAUUCUCUGCUGAGAAUAAACUGAACUCUUCUGAAGAGCUGGAGCAUAAUUCAUUGCAGCAAUCAGAUGUUGGGGAUUCAUCAGAGUCAGGAAACGACACAAAGUCUGAUCAAGAGAGUUCUGACCAAGCAAAGUCUGAUCAAGCAAAGUCAAUAAAAGCUAAAUUCAACCAUAAAGCUCCUUAAAAAACAGUGGCCAAACCCACAGAGCCAGACUUUUUUGGUGACCAGUAUGCCACAGAUGACUUCCCUUCACAAACAAACUGUCCCAACAACAUUAGGAAGCAUGUGCCUCAGACUCAGUUUGCUGAUAUGUUUCUGCACAAUAUCCCAGUGCUUCAGUGGGCAAAGCAUUUCACUCCAGAAGAGUACAAGCGGUUGAGUCAGUACCGUGGAGCACACGGCUGGGGAAGUGUUAGUGCCGAAGGUGUGUUGUUUUGGGGGAUCUUCUUGUAGUCACUAGUCUUCUAAAACUUCAGAUUUAUCUGCCUGGAGUGUUUUUAUUGUCCAAGGUUUCAGAGUGAUAAAGCCAUUAGCAUGCCCAUACUUUUAUGCUCUGGUUUUGUCAGUAUUUUUAGAUAAUACAAUUAUUUAGACAUGUUUUGCAGCAAAAAAAUAAUAAAUAAAUAAAUAAUAAUCACCUACAUAAAUAUCUGAUCCUAAAUAUAAAAACAGGCUACACAGAAAUCACUAUUGCCAGAAGCAAUUAACAAAUAAGAACUUG